UGUCAUUGUGUCACUCAUGUCAUUGUGCCACUCGUGUCAUUGUGUCACUCGUGUCACCGUGUCACCGUGUCACCGUGUCCCCGUGUCCCCUGCCACCCGCAGCAGCCGAAAGUGCUGGCUCUGUGCGUGUACCGUGACGUGAGCGGGUUGUUCACCACCGAGAGCCGCGCCGCCGGCCCCCGCGACGAGCUGGCCCCGCGUGGCCACGCCGAGACCGAGACCCUCAUCCAGGACAUCAGGUGGGCACGGGGGGGACGUGGCGGUGGCGGUGUCCCCAGGUGAUGUCCCCAUGGUGGUAGCGUUGUCCCCAUAGCAGUCGUGGUGUCCCCAUGGUGUUGGCGAUGUCCCUGUGGUGGUGUCCCCAUGAUGGUGUCCCCUUGCUGGUGUCCCCGUGGUGGUGGUGGUGUCCCAGUGGUUGGGUCCUGGUGGUGGUGUCCCCGUGGUGGUGGCAGUGUCCCCAUGGUGGCAGUGCUGUCCCCUUGGUGCUGUCCCCAUGGUGGUGGCCAUGCCCCUGUGGCAGUGUCCUCAUGGUGGUGACCAUAUCCCCUUGGUGGUGUCCCCUUGGUGGUAUCCCCUGGGUGGUGUCCCUGUGGCGGUGUCCCCGUGGUGGUGGUGGUGUCCCUGUACUGGUUGUGGUGUCCCCACGGUGGCGGCAGUGUCCCCAUGGUGGUGGCGGUGUCCCUGUGGCCGUGUCCCCAGGGUUCUGGUGGUGUCCCCAUGGUGGUGGCCAUGCCCCUGUGGCUGUGUCCCUAUGGCGGUGGCCAUGUCCCCUUGCUGGUGUCCCCAUGGUGGUGGUGGUGUCCCCGCGGCAGCGUCCCUGUAGCAGUGGUGGUGCCCCCAUGGCGGUGUCCCCUUGCUGGUGUCCCCUUGCUGGUGUCCCCAUGGUGGUGGCAGUGUCCCCAUGGCCGUGUCCCCAUGGUGUCGGUGUCCCCGCGGUGUCCCCAUGGCGGUGUCGGUGUCCCUGUCCCCACGGUGUUGGUGUCCCUGUGGUGUCCCCAUGGUGGCCAUGUCCCCGUGGUGGUGUCGGUGUCCCCGCGGUGUCCCCGUGGCCGUGUCCCCGUGGCGGUGUCCCCGCGGUGCUGACAUCCCGGUGUGGCAGCGAGGCGGUGGAUGACGAGGAGGA
rnacentral:lncRNA from 1 species